CCUACGGGAGGCAGCAGUGGGGAAUAUUGCACAAUGGGCGAAACCCUGAUGCAGCGACGCCGCGUGAGUGAAGAAGUAAUUCGUUAUUUAAAGCUCUAUCAGCAGGGAAGAAAAUGACGGUACCUGAGUAAGAAGCCCCGGCUAACUACGUGCCAGCAGCCGCGGUAAUACGUAGGGGGCAAGCGUUAUCCGGAUUUACUGGGUGUAAAGGGAGCGUAGACGGCAGUGCAAGUCUGGAGUGAAAGGCGGGGGCCCAAACCCCGGACUGCUCUGGAAACUGUACGGCUGGAGUGCAGGAGAGGUAAGUGGAAUGCCUAGUGUAGCGGUGAAAUGCGUAGAUAUUAGGAGGAACACCAGUGGCGAAGGCGGCUUACUGGACUGUAACUGACGUUGAGGCUCGAAAGCGUGGGGAGCAAACAGGAUUAGAUACCCGAGUAGUC
rnacentral:rRNA from 1 species